rnacentral:rRNA from 1 species
UACAGAGGUCCCAAGCGUUGUUCGGAUUCACUGGGCGUAAAGGGUGCGUAGGCGGUUUGAUAAGUCUGAUGUGAAAUCCCGCAGCUUAACUGCGGAACUGCAUUGGAAACUAUUUGACUAGAGGAAUGGAGGGGAGACUGGAAUACUUGGUGUAGCAGUGAAAUGCGUAGAUAUCAAGUGGAACACCAGUGGCGAAGGCGAGUCCCUGGACAACACCUGACACUGAGGCACGAAAGCUAGGGGAGCAAACAGG